rnacentral:tRNA from 1 species
GGAGAGGUGGCAGAGUGGUCGAAUGCACCGGUCUUGAAAACCGGCGUGCCGCAAGGUACCGUGGGUUCGAAUCCCACCCUCUCCG